rnacentral:rRNA from 1 species
GAGGGGGGCAAGCGUUAUUCGGAAUUACUGGGCGUAAAGGGUACGUAGGUGGCAAUUUAAGUCAGUUGUUAAAGAUCACGGCUUACCCGUGAAAAUGCGAUUGAUACUGGAUAGCUAGAGGAUAGGAGAGAGAAGUGGAAUUCUCGGAGUAGCGGUAAAAUGCGUAGAUCUCGAGAGGAACACCGAUAGCGAAGGCAGCUUCUUGGCCUAUUCCUGACACUAAAGUACGAAAGCGUGGGAGCAAACAGGAUUAGAUACCCUGGUAGUCCACGCCGUAAACGAUGAUCACUAGAUGUGGGUUGUGCUUGCACGAUCCGUGUCGAAGCUAACGCGUUAAGUGAUCCGCCUGGGAGUACGGUCGCAAGAUUA